AAGUCCUUUUAAUAGCGGUCCAGAGAGGCUGACAAAGGAUGGGAAUGAAGGUGAAAUCAGGCCUUCUUAUACCCUCUUUGUGCCCUCUUUAGGACAAAGAGGGUUUUUUAAU
rfam:Bacillus vietnamensis strain TCD-SED5 scaffold_0, whole genome shotgun sequence.